rnacentral:lncRNA from 1 species
UGUAAGUUGGGUUUCUUUAAAUCUGAAUGGAAUCUCAGAGAUGGAUUAUGGGUAAAAGAAUUUUUCCAAGAUGCUUUGAGAGUCAGUUAAUCCAAUGGACUUCACUCUUUGGGCUGACCCUGUUCUGAAAGGAGUCCUAGGAGUUGCUUGGUGAAGUUGGAAAGUUUUUCACAUCUAAAAAUUAUCUAUCAUGCUAGACAAGUGAAGGAGAUUGUUGGGUGCAGCAAGCCCAGCAAGAUUGCUGUGCGAGUGAAGAAAGAAGCUCUGAGGACUCCUGAUGGGAUUAGGUUCAGCUGGUAUGGGCCAAAUGAUUCCUGAGCCAAAAAAAAAAAAGAAAAAGAAAAAGAAAAACCAACCUCCUCCUCCACAAUCUGUGUUGAAUGCCCAGAGACUGGCCCAGGUUACUUUCAAGCAUUUUCCCAAGAAUGGCUCUGUCAGCAGGACCAAGACCACAUGACA